rnacentral:lncRNA from 1 species
UCUGCUCUCUGCAUAUUGUUCAGGUAAAGCAGAUUUAAAAAAACAAGCAAACAUAAUGAAAACCAGCUGCUGCUGCUCCUGUUCUGUUCCUACUUUCUUGUGCUUUGUCCCUCCCCUUUACAACGUGGUCUGGAUUGAAUGCUGGGCGGGGCCAAAUGGUAUAUGAACCUCAGGCAUGGCAUUAGAGAGCUCCUUCUGCCUGGGCUGCUCCUUGGGGUGCUUUGUGCAGUCGUGAACAGGGAAGGGAAAUCCUCACGUCACAAAGCUCUGAGGGAAGGUGGCGUGCAUGAUGCUGGCCGCUCCUUUCAAGCUUGGACGUAAUUUUCAGGUGGUGUGGAUGAUACUGGCUGCACUGUUGGAGCUUGGAUUCGGAGAGGAACAGGUGAGCACAGUCUUAUGGUGCAUCAGUA